GCUAAAGCAGGAACGUCUAGAGCACAUUAUUCAGGAGCAUCCAGAUCUCCAGAGAAGGGGACUCCACGACCUCCCUGGGCAGCCUCUUCCAGGGCUCCAUCACUGUGGGAAAGUAACGGAAGACUGGUGAGGAGGACUGUAAACAUGCUCAAGUGGGGUGCUGGAAAACACUUCCUUCACAGUAAUUGUUGCAUCAUGCUUGGUAGCCUGGUACUACAAGCGCAUGCCCUGGAUACAUCUCUGCAAAAUCAACAUGUAAACACUCAGAUUUGCUCAGCCUCUACUGCAACUGACUUGUCUGCAUUUAAUACGAAGGGAACAUUAACAGCUGCAGAUCUGUAGACAGCUUGUUUCAGUGGUGCAUCAACCCCAGCAUGUGUGAUGUAGAAUUAUGCUGUGCUAAGUGUCUUUGAUAUUAAUGUCUCAUUGCUGUCUUUUCUGAGUAGGUAACUGCCAUGUGCCAAUGAACAUCACAAAUUGACUGACAGUCGACGUUUUCCUCCCCAGACACCAGAAAUGUUGCUUCAGCUUUGAAAACACGUUGCUUCAACGCAACUGAUGGAACAGCCAGCCCAGAGCACAACAUUCAACAUUCUCCAGGCCUGAAUGCACCAAACGGAACAACCUCCUGAUGGUGCCCAGCAGGUUGAGGGGUUUAAUUCCUGGAUAGGAGGAACAGGACACCUGAUUCAGAGCAUUACUGUAAAGAUAUAUUUUCCUAUAUAUGUUUAUUGCAUGCCUCUGUAAGCUAGUUUGUACUGCACCCUGCAAGCGUAAAUGAAUGUCUCCAGUUUCGUAAACCCCAGCAGAAGUGGUCUCUUGAGCAAGGGGGUGGAACAAGGGAAAGUAACAGAAGAUUGGUGAGGAUGACUGUAAACAUGCUCAAGUGACUCAUGUGGGGUGCUGGAAAACACUUCCUUCACAGUCAUUGUUGCUUAGUUUUGUGUGCUCAACAAGUAGAACAUCUGCACUUAGAUAACACGGGCCUGGGAUGGACUCAGGGGCACCUUCUCAAACACGCCUGGGAUUCUUGCCCUGCUGCUGAAGAGAUCAAAGCCCAGCAGAAAACUCUGCCUGCCAGAAUCCUGGAAAUCCAGCCCCAAACAGCAAGUGGGAGCUCCCUCACUCCCUCACUCCCUGGCUAACAAGGACUCUCUUGCUAAUAAGGACUCUGGCUCUGCUCUGCCUGCAUCCCCUGCUUGCCUGCCUCUGCCCAGGGGCUGCUUCAGAGGUUCCCCCAUCCAUAAGGUAUUGACAUUAAAUUGUUCUUUGCCCUUAA